UAGGGAAUAUUGCACAAUGGGGGAAAGCCCUGAUGCAGCGACGCCGCGUGAAGGAAGAAGGCUUUCGGGUUGUAAACUUCUUUUAAGAGGGAAGAGCAGAAGACGGUACCUCUUGAAUAAGCCACGGCUAACUACGUGCCAGCAGCCGCGGUAAUACGUAGGUGGCAAGCGUUGUCCGGAUUUACUGGGUGUAAAGAGCGUGCAGCCGGGAAGACAAGUCAGAUGUGAAAUCCCGCGGCUUAACCGCGGAACUGCAUUUGAAACUGUAUUUCUUGAGUACCGGAGAGGUCAUCGGAAUUCCUUGUGUAGCGGUGAAAUGCGUAGAUAUAAGGAAGAACACCAGUGGCGAAGGCGGAUGACUGGACGGCAACUGACGGUGAGGCGCGAAAGCGUGGGGAGCAAACAGGAUUAGAUACCC
rnacentral:rRNA from 1 species